AUUGAACGCUGGCGGCAGGCCUAACACAUGCAAGUCGAGCGAGCGGCGGACGGGUGAGUAAUGUCUGGGAAACUGCCUGAUGGAGGGGGAUAACUACUGGAAACGGUAGCUAAUACCGCAUACCAUCAGAUGUGCCCAGAUGGGAUUAGCGAGGAGGUGGGGUAACGGCGCACCUAGGCGACGAGCCCUAGCUGGUCUGAGAGGAUGAACAGCCACACUGGAACUGGGACACGGUCCAGACUCCUACGGGAGGCAGCAGUGGGGAAUAUUGCACAAGUGGCGCAAGCCUGAUGCAGCCAUGCCGCGUGUGUGAAGAAGGCCUUCGGGUUGUAAAGCACUUUCAGCGGGGAGGCGUUACCCGCAGAAGAAGCACCGGCUAACUCCGUGCCAGCAGCCGCGGUAAUAC
rnacentral:rRNA from 1 species